rnacentral:rRNA from 1 species
UACGGGGGGGGGCAAGCGUUGUUCGGAAUUACUGGGCGUAAAGGGCUCGUAGGUGGCCAACUAAGUCGGACGUGAAAUCCCUCGGCUUAACCGGGGAACUGCAUCCGAUACUGGAUGGCUUGAGUUCGGGAGAGGGAUGCGGAAUUCCAGGUGUAGCGGUGAAAUGCGUAGAUAUCUGGAGGAAUACCGGUGGCGAAGGCGGCAUCCUGGACCGGCAUUGACGCUGAGGAGCGAAAGCCAGGGGAGCAAACGGG